UUCAUUAUGGAUUUUCUUUGUAACACUUUGUAAAAUUCAGUCUCACCAUCUGAGGACAUCAGCUCAUCUAUCAGGUCAGCAACUCCUGAGAGGGAAGAGGAAAUUUCACAGGUCCCAGGGUGGAGCUUCAGCAAGCUGCCCACGUCCAGCAGGGACUGCAGCUCCUGGCCCGACACGUUCACCUGCUGCUGGGGGUCCAGAGCCGAGCCCAACACUGGCUGCAUGCUCAGCACUGGUUCAGUCUGGGCGUGGCACUCUGCAAGAAUACAACACAGCCCGUCUAGUAAACACAUAAAAGGCGUGAACUGAGUUUUCUGUCCAUAAGAUGGCCUAAACUGCUGAAGUGAAGCGAAUAUACCACAAGAAAAAUGGAAAUCGGAACCCCU